UUCUGUGUAUCAACUGGGAAAAAAAGAGAAUGCAGACAAAUAAAACAAGUAAAAGAGUUAUAGAAGGCUAAUCCCAAAAGGAGAUGUUGCCUUUUCCAAGUUGCAACUAAACUUAAAGGCUAUACUGAGAAGUCUUCACCAUUUUCAGGAGUUCAAGACAGGUUCUUCUACCACCACCAAUAGCAUGUGUUUACAGGAUUAUAUUAAAGCUUUGUAAAAACAUAACUGAAUCAUUUAAAAUAAAAGCUUUUCCCCCUACCUCCAAUUCAACAAUGUAUAUAAAUAUGGAAACCAAGAAAUAUAAAACAGAUCAUGAGAAAAUGUGGGUGAAUCUCUCAUAAUGUACAAAUCCAGAGACAAAAGUAUAAAAAAAAAAAGUAAAAAGGGAAGAAAAAGAAAACAAAAUGGAAAGAAUGCAAAAAUGCAAUAUUCAUACUACAUGUUCAACCAUAAAUAAAUACAGUGAAACAUUCACUGCUAUGCUUUCAUCUAAUGAAAAAAGGGGAAAAAUAAGACAACACAUAUCACAAAAUACCUCAACUUUUCUGACUAUUGUAUCUCCAGAUCAAGAUCACUAUGCAAGUUUAAUUUUCAGACCCAGCUAGGGAUCUUAAAAGGGUCAAGAAAAGCUUUUUCCUCUUCUACAGAGCCUAAGAUAGAGAAAAGCUGCCAUCAAUGUGUCUUCAAAAUGAAAGCAAUGGUACUCAAGGAGCCAUACCCAAGGAGCUAUAUCCAAAUAGCCUUAUCUGAACCUACAUCUGAUUUAGAAGACAGGAUCCUAGGUCUCGAGCCUGAGCCUGACUCUGUAUUAUAUAAGACCCCCUUGAAGAAGGGAUUAUAAACAUGGUUAAGCUCAUCUUUCACCAAGAAACUAAAACAACUGAGCCAAGAACUGACUGGCUGUAGCAGAACAGAAGAAGGUACUCUGGAACAGGAAGAGCAAAGAGGCCUGAGAAUGCAACCAACAACUACCAGCAAUUCAUUUUUUGGAGUUCUUUCUGUAGCAGGCUCUGCACCAACAGCAUCAAGCGCC